UAUAAUAACCUAACGAGAAAUCCCUAGAUUUGGUGAAUCGAUAUCUAAUAUCAAUUUGUAGGCAUGUUAUGCAAGUUGAGUUAAUAUCUUAAAAGGUUUAUAUCUUCAAAAAUCACUCAAUUAUAUUUAUCAAUAAAAUAAAUUUGACAUGACAAAAGAAAUUAUUUUUCUUAUUUCAUGUAAACAUGAACUCCACAAAUAAACAAAAUAAUUAACAUAGUUAUUUUUAUCAUUACCUCUAAUUUCACACACUGUGACGCACUCCACAAAUAAACAAAAUAAUUAACAUAGUUAUUUUAUCAUUACCUCUAAUUUCACAAACUGUGACAAGCUAAAAUUAACCUCAUUCGCAAUAAUUGAUUUUGGGUUUGAUUAGUUCCAAGAAUUGGCAGCAAUUCAAUGAAGAACUAGAAUCCAGUGAUGAUGACCCUCCAUUGGAGUUAAUCAAGAAAGCUUCGGAAGAUGAAAUGGCAGUGGUGUUAAUUGGACUACUGCUAUCUUCGGUCAAGAUCCACUGAAGUCACUAUCUGAUUACCCAUCUUUGAAAUGAAUAAAAAUAAUUGAGGGAUUCAUAAUAAUUCCAUUUCCACCAUUAGAGCGUCAGCUAUCAAAGUUGAGCUCUGUAUUUGUAAUAAUUUGUGUAUAUAAAAAUGUUAUUCCUUAAGAAUUGGGUUCUAUUUUCAACUUGUAGGUUUUAACUUGCUUAUCACUUAUAUUAAAUUGAUAAUAACUUAUUGUCUUCCCUAUUGCCCAGUGCUCACAGGC
rnacentral:lncRNA from 1 species